AUUGAACGCUGGCGGCAGGCCUAACACAUGCAAGUCGAACGAGUGGCGGACGGGUGAGUAAUGCUUGGGCAUCUAGCUUAUGGAGGGGGAUAACUACGGGAAACUGUAGCUAAUACCGCGUACCGUAGGAUGAGCCCAUGUGGGAUUAGGUAGUUGGGGUGGUAACGGCUCACCAAGCCGACGAUCUCUAGCUGGUCUGAGAGGAUGACCAGCCACACUGGGACUGAGACACGGCCCAGACGCCUACGGGAGGCAGCAGGGGGGAAUAUUGCGCAAUGGGGGCAACCUGACGCAGCCAGGCCGCGUGAAUGAAGAAGGCCUUCGGGUUGUAAAGUUCUUUCGGUAGAGAGGCGUUAACUACAGAAGAAGCACCGGCUAACUCCGUGCCAGCAGCCGCGGUAAUAC
rnacentral:rRNA from 1 species